GAAAAGAAAGAAGAGAAGAAAGAGAAAACAGAAGACAAAGAGAAAGAAAAAGAAGAUACUUCUCCACCUCCUCCUCCUCCUCCCUCUCCGCCCCCUCUUCCGCCUUCUUCUUCUGUCUCUUCUUCUCCUGGUCCUAAAUUUAAGAGAGUAACAAAAGGAGGAU
rnacentral:ribozyme from 13 species